rnacentral:lncRNA from 1 species
AAGCUAAAAAUUUCUCAUUUUCUUCAGCUUGAACUGCUUUUGGAUGAUAAUUGACCAAAUUAAUCUGUCUUCUCCCCCAAACGUUUUUUCCCCUCUGCUGGUUCCCCAAACGUUCUUUCCCCUCUGCUGGUGAAAUUGGAGCUUUAUACCCAAUUUCUUUUCCCCAUUUUCGGCUUUCAAAGCUAAUUUCUGUUCUUUGUUCCUCUU